GAUUCCGGAGAGGGAGCCUGAGAAAUGGCUACCACAUCCAAGGAUGGCAGCAGGCGCGCAAAUUACCCACUCCCAGCUUGGGGAGGUAGUGACGAAAAAUAACAAUGCGGGACUCUAAGAGGCCCCGUAAUUGGAAUGAGUACACCUUAAAUCGUUUAUCGAGUAUCAAUUGGAGGGCAAGUCUGGUGCCAGCAGCCGCGGUAAUUCCAGCUCCAAUAGCGUAUAUUAAAGUUGCUGCAGUUAAAAAGCUCGUAGUUGGAUCUGGGGCUUGAGGUCGCUGUCUAUCGUUUCGGCGAAGACGGUGAUGCUCAGCUCUGCUUGCCGGUGACUGUUGCGGUGUUCUUCACUGAGCGCUGUAGCAGCACGGCACGUUUACUUUGAAAAAAUUAGAGUGCUCAAAGCGUGCUUGUCGCUUGAAUAAUGUUGCAUGGAAUAAUGGAAUAGGACCUCGGUUCUAUUUUGUUGGUUUUCGGAGCUUGAGGUAAUGAUUAAGAGGGACGAACGGGGGCAUUCGUAUUGCGGUGUUAGAGGUAAAAUUCUUGGAUCGCCGCAAGACGGACUACUGCGAAAGCAUUUGCCAAGAACGCUUUCAUUAAUUAAGAACGAAAGUCAGAGGUUCGAAGACGAUCAGACACCGUCCUAGUUCUGACCAUAAACGAUGCCGACCAGCGAUCCGUAGUGGUUGCUUUAUGGACCCUACGGGCAGCCUCCGGGAAACCAAAGUAUUUGGGUUCCGGGGGAAGUAUGGUUGCAAAGCUGAAACUUAAAGGAAUUGACGGAAGGGCACACCAGGAGUGGAGCCUGCGGCUUAAUUUGACUCAACACGGGAAAACUCACCCGGUCCGGACACCGUAAGGAUUGACAGACUGAUAGCUCUUUCUUGAUUCGGUGGAUGGUGGUGCAUGGCCGUUCUUAGUUGGUGGAGUGAUUUGUCUGGUUAAUUCCGAUAACGAACGAGACUCUAGCCUGCUAAGUAGUGUUGCUAUUGUUAUAUGGUUGACACUUCUUAGAGGGACAAGUGGCAUUUAGCCACGCGAAAUUGAGCAAUAACAGGUCUGUGAUGCCCUUAGAUGUCCGGGGCCGCACGCGCGCUACACUGGAGAAGUCAGCGUGUGUUAUCCAAGUCCGAAAGGACUGGGUAAUCCGUUGAACCUUCUUCGUGCUUGGGACUGUGGCUUGGAACUAUUCCACAUGAACGAGGAAUUCCUAGUAAUUGCAAGUCAUAAGCUUGCGUUGAUUACGUCCCUGCCCUUUGUACACACCGCCCGUCGCUACUACCGAUUGAAUGGUUUAGCAAGGUCCUCGGAUCGUGGCCGUAGGGGCACGCAAGUGUUUCUGCGGUUUGCGAGAAGACGACCAAACUUGAUCAUUUAGAGGAAGUAAAAGUCGUAACAAGGUU
rnacentral:rRNA from 1 species